rnacentral:piRNA from 1 species
UGUAGAGAUGGCGCUGUCUGUAUUUUUG